GACGAACGCUGGCGGCGUGCCUAAUACAUGCAAGUCGAACGCUUCUUUCCUCCCGAGUGCUUGCACUCAAUUGGAAAGAGGAGUGGCGGACGGGUGAGUAACACGUGGGUAACCUACCCAUCAGAGGGGGAUAACACUUGGAAACAGGUGCUAAUACCGCAUAACAGUUUAUGCCGCAUGGCAUAAGAGUGAAAGGCGCUUUCGGGUGUCGCUGAUGGAUGGACCCGCGGUGCAUUAGCUAGUUGGUGAGGUAACGGCUCACCAAGGCCACGAUGCAUAGCCGACCUGAGAGGGUGAUCGGCCACACGGGGACUGAGACACGGCCCAGACUCCUACGGGAGGCAGCAGUAGGGAAUCUUCGGCAAUGGACGAAAGUAUGACAGAGCAACGCCGCGUGAGUGAAGAAGGUUUUCGGAUCGUAAAACUCUGUUGUUAGAGAAGAACAAGGACGUUAGUAACUGAACGUCCAAUGACGGUAUCUAACCAGAAAGCCACGGCUAACUACGUG
rnacentral:rRNA from 1 species